GUUCUACUGCGACGUUGGUGACUGCCAAUAAUGUUUUUUUGACCUACAAAUCAAAAAACAUUGGGAAUCUAGAUGUUUAAGUGGCAGUAAACUGGGCUUGUACCCAGAAACUUUAAACUUGGGCCGAGAUACCCACCUGGUAUUAUCCAGGUCAAAAGCUGAGGUAAGACGGCGUUGUGGUGAACU
rnacentral:other from 1 species